GAUGAACGCUGGCGGCGUGCCUAAUACAUGCAAGUCGAGCGAACAGACGAGGAGCUUGCUCCUUUGACGUUAGCGGCGGACGGGUGAGUAACACGUGGAUAACCUACCUAUAAGACUGGGAUAACUUCGGGAAACCGGAGCUAAUACCGGAUAACAUGUUGAACCGCAUGGUUCAACAGUGAAAGACGGUCUUGCUGUCACUUAUAGAUGGAUCCGCGCCGCAUUAGCUAGUUGGUAAGGUAACGGCUUACCAAGGCAACGAUGCGUAGCCGACCUGAGAGGGUGAACGGCCACACAGGAACUGAGACACGGUCCAGACUCCUACGGGAGGCAGCAGUAGGGAAGCGACCGCAAUGGGCGAAAGCCUGACGGAGCAACGCCGCGUGAGUGAAGAAGGUCUGCGGAUCGUAAAACGCUGUUAUGAGGGAAGAACAAAUGUGUAAGUAACUAUGCACGUCUUGACGGUACCUAAGCAGAAAGCCACGGCUAACUACGU
rnacentral:rRNA from 1 species